UCAACGGCCGCGGUAUUUUGACCGUGCAAAGGUAGCGCAAUCACUUGUCUUUUAAAUGAAGACCCGUAUGAAUGGCAAGACGAGGGCUUGACUGUCUCCUUUUUCAAGUCAAUGAAAUUGAUCUUCCCGUGCAGAAGCGGGAAUAACUACACAAGACGAGAAGACCCUAUGGAGCUUUAGACACCAAAGUAGGCCACGUUAAAGCCCCCCACAAAGGACCAAACUAAUUGGACACUACCCUAAUGUCUUCGGUUGGGGCGACCACGGGGAAAUACAAAACCCCCGCGCGGACCGGGAGCACCCUCCUACAACUAAGAGCCUCCGCUCUAACAAGCAGAAUUUCUGACCAACAAGAUCCGGCAAAGCCGAUUAACGAACCAAGUUACCCUAGGGAUAACAGCGCAAUCCUCUUUUAGAGUCCAUAUCGACAAGAGGGUUUACGACCUCGAUGUUGGAUCAGGACAUCCUAAU
rnacentral:rRNA from 1 species